UACAGAGGUCUCAAGCGUUGUUCGGACUCAUUGGGCGUAAAGGGUGUGUAGGUGGCGCGCUAAGUCGGGUGUGAAAUUUCGGAGCUUAACUCCGAAACUGCAUUCGAUACUGGCGUGCUUGAGGACUGGAGAGGAGACUGGAAUUUACGGUGUAGCAGUGAAAUGCGUAGAUAUCGUAAGGAAGACCAGUGGCGAAGGCGGGUCUCUGGACAGUUCCUGACACUGAGGAGCGAAAGCGUGGGGAGCGAACAGG
rnacentral:rRNA from 1 species